UACGGGAGUGGCAAGCGUUAUCCGGAAUUAUUGGGCGUAAAGCGUCCGCAGGCGGUCUGUCAAGUCUGCUGUUAAAGCGUGGAGCUUAACUCCAUUAAGGCAGUGGAAACUGACAGACUAGAGUGUGGUAGGGGCAGAGGGAAUUCCCGGUGUAGCGGUGAAAUGCGUAGAUAUCGGGAAGAACACCAGUGGCGAAGGCGCUCUGCUGGGCCAUAACUGACGCUCAUGGACGAAAGCCAGGGGAGCGAAAGGGAUUAGAUACCCCUGUAGUCCUGGCCGUAAACGAUGAACACUAGGUGCCGGGGGAAUCGACCCCCUCGGUGUCGUAGCCAACGCGUUAAGUGUUCCGCCUGGGGAGUACGCACGCAAGUGUGAAACUCAAAGGAAUUGACGGGGGCCCGCACAAGCGGUGGAGUAUGUGGUUUAAUUCGAUGCAACGCGAAGAACCUUACCAGGGUUUGACAUCCUGCGAAUCUCUUGGAAACGAGAGAGUGCCUUCGGGAACGCAGUGACAGGUGGUGCAUGGCUGUCGUCAGCUCGUGUCGUGAGAUGUUGGGUUAAGUCCCGCAACGAGCGCAACCCACGUCGUUAGUUGCCAGCAUUUAGUUGGGCACUCUAGCGAGACCGCCGGUGAUAAACCGGAGGAAGGUGUGGAUGACGUCAAGUCAUCAUGCCCCUUACAUCCUGGGCUACACACGUACUACAAUGCUACGGACAAAGGGCAGCAAACUCGCGAGAGCUAGCAAAUCCCAUAAACCGUGGCUCAGUUCAGAUCGUAGGCUGCAACUCGCCUACGUGAAGGAGGAAUCGCUAGUAAUCGCAGGUCAGCAUACUGCGGUGAAUACGUUCCCGGGCCU
rnacentral:rRNA from 1 species